GCGAUACUUGGUGUGAAUUGCAGGAUCCCGCGAACCACCGAGUCUUUGAACGCAAGUUGCGCCCGGAGCCUUCUGGCCGAGGGCACGUCUGCCUGGGCGUC
rnacentral:rRNA from 3 species